rnacentral:rRNA from 1 species
UCGGAUUGUAGUCUGCAACCGACUACAUGAAGCUGGAAUCGCUAGUAAUCGCGGAUCAGAAUGCCGCGGUGAAUACGUUCCCGGGUCUUGUACACACCGCCCGUCACACCAUGGGAGUCGGAAAUGCCCGAAGUCUGUGACCCAACCUUAGGGAGGGAGCAGCCGAAGGCAGGUCGGAUGACUGGGGUGAAGUCGUAACAAGGUACC